rnacentral:rRNA from 1 species
GAUGAACGCUGGCGGCGUGCCUAAUACAUGCAAGACGAGCGAACAGACGAGGAGCUUGCUCCUCUGACGUUAGCGGCGGACGGGUGAGUAACACGUGGAUAACCUACCUAUAAGACUGGGAUAACUUCGGGAAACCGGAGCUAAUACCGGAUAAUAUAUUGAACCGCAUGGUUCAAUAGUGAAAGACGGUUUUGCUGUCACUUAUAGAUGGAUCCGCGCCGCAUUAGCUAGUUGGUAAGGUAACGGCUUACCAAGGCGACGAUGCGUAGCCGACCUGAGAGGGUGAUCGGCCACACUGGAACUGAGACACGGUCCAGACUCCUACGGGAGGCAGCAGUAGGGAAUCUUCCGCAAUGGGCGAAAGCCUGACGGAGCAACGCCGCGUGAGUGAUGAAGGUCUUCGGAUCGUAAAACUCUGUUAUUAGGGAAGAACAAAUGUGUAAGUAACUAUGCACGUCUUGACGGUACCUAAUCAGAAAGCCACGGCUAACUACGUG